rnacentral:rRNA from 1 species
CCUACGGGAGGCAGCAGUGAGGAAUAUUGGUCAAUGGGCGCGAGCCUGAACCAGCCAAGUCGCGUGAGGGAAGACGGUCCUAUGGAUUGUAAACUUCUUUUGUCGGGGAGCAAAAGACGCCACGCGUGGCGUUCUGAGAGUACCCGAAGAAAAAGCAUCGGCUAACUCCGUGCCAGCAGCCGCGGUAAUACGGAGGAUGCGAGCGUUAUCCGGAUUUAUUGGGUUUAAAGGGUGCGCAGGCGGAAGAUCAAGUCAGCGGUAAAAUUGAGAGGCUCAACUUCUUCGAGCCGUUGAAACUGGUUUUCUUGAGUGAGCGAGAAGUAUGCGGAAUUCGUGGUGUAGCGGUGAAAUGCAUAGAUAUCACACAGAACUCCGAUUGCGAAGGCAGCAUACCGGCGCUCAACUGACGCUCAUGCACGAAAGUGUGGGUAUCGAACAGGAUUAGAUACCCGAGUAGUC